UUACACCUUGGCUUGCCCUGGCAGCAAGGCAUCCAAGGAUAUCCUACCACACCCAGGUCUGCAGCAGAGGAGCCAGACAAACUGGUUACACAGGCUUGGUUAGGUGGUCUUGAAUCCAUUGCAAAAAAAAAUGUGCCAAACCAGUUUAUAGGAAGAUCUCCAUGUGCCAGGAUGCCUACUAAGAAGAUGCGUCACCCUGGGGGGAGACAGGGGUGUGGUGAAGGAAUUGUACUACUUCAGUAAUCAGACCUAAAUAAAACAGCCUAAAACUGACUCACGAAGCUGGAAGAGGAGACGAAGCAGCAAAUUGCUGCGGGAACUUACGUCACCAAGCGCUUGGGCUGAGCACCCAGAGCUGGUUUCAUUUCACUGGAACCAUCACACUGAAACUACUGUUCUGUCCCUGUGCAGAGCAGUGGCUGGAUGUCCGUUCCUGAGACUGGAAACAAGCAGAUAGCAACAGCAAGUGGAAGAUAAAAUGA